rnacentral:rRNA from 1 species
UUUAAAGGGUUUUACCCNCUUCCGGAUGGGCCCGCGUCCCAUUAGCUAGUUGGUGGGGUAANGGCCCACCNAGGCGCCGACGGGUAACCGGUCUGAGAGGAUGCCCGGCCACAGGGGCACUGAGACACGGNCCCCACUCCUACGGGAGGCAGCAGUUAGGAAUCUUCCGCAAUGGACGGAAGUCUGACGGAGCGACGCCGCUUGGAGGAGGAAGCCCUUCGGGGUGUAAACUCCUGAACCCGGGACGAAACCCCCGAGGAGGGGACUGACGGUACCGGGGUAAUAAGCGCCGGCCAACUCCGUGCCAGCAGCCGCGGUAAUACGGAGGGCGCGAGCGUUACCCGGAUUUACUGGGCGUAAAGGGCGUGUAGGCGGCUUGGGGCGUCCCAUGUGAAAGGCCACGGCUCAACUGUGGAGGAGCGUGGGAUACGCUCAGGCUAGACGGUGGGGGAGGGUGGUGGAAUUCCCGGAGUAGCGGUGAAAUGCGCAGAUACCGGGAGGAACGCCGAUGGCGAAGGCAGCCACCUGGCUCACUUGUGACGCUGAGGCGCGAAAGCGUGGGGAGCAAACCGGAUUAGAUACCCGGGUAGUCCACGCCCUAAACGAUGCGCGCUAGGUCUCUGGGUUUACUGGGGGCCGAAGCCAACGCGUUAAGCGCGCCGCCUGGGGAGUACGGCCGCAAGGCUGAAACUCAAAGGAAUUGACGGGGGCCCGCACAAGCGGUGGAGCAUGUGGUUUAAUUCGAAGCAACGCGAAGAACCUUACCAGGCCUUGACAUGCUAGGGGACCUANGUGAAAGCCUGGGGUGCCCUGCGAGGGGAGCCCUANCACANGUGCUGCAUGGCCGUCGUCAGCUCGUGUCGUGAGAUGUUGGGUUAAGUCCCGCAACGAGCGCAACCCUNGCNGUUAGUUGCCAACGGGUUGAACCGGGCACUCUAACGGGACU